rnacentral:lncRNA from 1 species
CUGGAGGAGUAGAGGGUUUGUCUCUCCUGCUGUGUGUCUGAAGGAGUAGGGGUUUGUUCUCUCCUGGUGUGGUGUCUAGAGGAGUAGGGGUUUUCUCUCCUGUCUGGUGUCUGGAGGAUAAGGGUUUGUCUCUCCUGUUGUGGUUGUCUAGAGGAGUAGGGGUUCUUCUUUGGUGUUGUGUCUAGAGGAGUGGAGUUGUCUCUCCUGGUGUGGAGGAGUAGGGGAUUUGUCUCUUCUGGUGUGGUGUCUAGAGGAGUAGGAGUUUGUCUCUCCUGGUGUCUGAAGGAGUAGGGUUUGUCUCUCCUGGUGUCUGAGGAGUAGGGGAUUUGUCUCUCCUGGUGUGUGUCUGGAGGUGUAGGGUUUUGUCUCUCCUGGUGUGGUGUCUGGGGAGUAGGGGGUUUGUCUCUCCUGUUGUGGUUUCUGGAGGAGUAGGGGUUGUCUCUCCUGGUGUGGUGUUAGAGGGUAGGGGUUUGUCUCUCCUGGUGUCUGGAGGAGUAGGCGUUUGUCUCUCCUGGUUGUGUGUCUGGAGGAGUCGGGGUUUGCCCUCUCUGGUGUAGUGUCUAGAGGAGUAGGGGUUGUCUCUACUGGUGUUUGGAGGAGUAGAGGGUUUGUCUCUCCUGCUGUGUGUCUGAAGGAGUAGGGGGUUUGUCUCUCCUGGUGUGGUGUCUGGAGGAGUAGGUGGUUUGUCUCUCCUGGUGUGGUGUCUGGAGGAAUAAGGGUUUGUCUCUCCUGGUGUAGGGUCUGGAGGAAUUGGGGUUUUGUCUCUCCUGGUGUGGUGUCUGGAGGAGUAGGGGGUUUGUCUCUCCUGGUGUGGUGUCUGGAGGAGUAGGGGUUUGUCUCUCCUGGUGUUGGUGUCUGGAGGAGUAGGGGGUUUGUCUUUCCUGAUGUAGUAUCUGGAGGAGUAGGGUUUGUCUCUCCUGGUGUGGUGUCUAGAGAGGUAGGGGGUUUCUCUCCUGGUGUGCUGUCUGGAGGAGUAGGGGCUUUUGUCUCUAUUGGUGUUGUGUCUAGAGGAGUAGGGGGUUUGUCUCUUCUGGUGUGGUGUCUGGAGAGUUGGGGUUUGUCUCUGCUGGUGAUGUGUCUAGAGGAUAGGGGGUUGUUCUCUCCGGUUUCUAGGAGUAGGGGUUUGUCUCUCCUGGUGUGGUGUCUGGAGGAAUAAGGGUUUGUCUAGAGGAGUAGGGGGUUUGUCUCUCCUGGUAUGGAGGAGUAGGGGUUUCUCUCUCCUGCUGUGGUGUCUAGAGGAGAAGGGUUUUUUCUCACCUAGUGUGGUAUUUGGAGGACUUGGGGAUUUGUCUCUCCUGGUGUGGUGUCUGGAGGAGUAGGGGGUUUGCCUCUCCUGUGUGGUGUGUGUGGAAGAGUAGGGGUUUUCACAAUUCUUGUAAAA